GAUGAACGCUGGCGGCGUGCCUAAUACAUGCAAGUCGAGCGACCAGACGAGGAGCUUGCUCCUCUGACGUUAGCGGCGGACGGGUGAGUAACACGUGGAUAACCUACCUAUAAGACUGGGAUAACUUCGGGAAACCAGAGCUACUACCGGAUAAUAUAUUGUACCGCAUGGUUCAAUAGUGAAAGACGGUUUUGCUGUCACUUAUAGAUGGUUCCGCGCCGCAUUAGCUAGUUGGUAAGGUAACGGCUGACCAAGGCAACGAUGCGUAGCCGACCUGAGAGGGUGAUCGGCCACACUGGAACUGAGACACGGUCCAGACUCCUACGGGAGGCAGCAGUAGGGAAUCUUCCGCAAUGGGCGAAAGCUUGACGGAGCAACGCCGCGUGAGUGAUGAAGGUCUUCGGGUCGUAAAACUCUGUUAUUAGGGAAGAACAAAAGUGUAAGUAACUAUGCACGUCUUGACGGUACCUAAUCAGAAAGCCACGGCUAACUACGUG
rnacentral:rRNA from 1 species